UACGGAGGGGGCGAGCGUUGUCCGAAGUUACUGGGCGUAAAGCGCGCGUAGGCGGGUCGACAAGUCCGCUGUGAAAGCCCGGGGCUCAACCCCGGAGGGUCGGUGGAUACUGUCGGUCUUGAAGGUGCUAGGGGGAGAUGGAAUUACCGGUGUAGCGGUGAAAUGCGUAGAUAUCGGUAGGAACACCAGUGGCGAAGGCGGUCUCCUGGGGCACUCUUGACGCUGAGGCGCGAAAGCUGGGGGAGCGAACGGG
rnacentral:rRNA from 1 species